GACGAACGCUGGCGGCGUGCUUAACACAUGCAAGUCGAGGGCGUGGAGCAAUCCACGACCGGCGAACGGGUGCGUAACACGUGAGCAACCUACCUCUAUGCGGGGGAUAGCCGGCCCAACGGCCGGGUAAUACCGCGUACGCUCGUUUGGAGACAUCUCCGGACGAGGAAACCCUUCGGGGGCAUUGAGUGGGGCUUCGCGGCCUAUCAGCUAGUUGGUGAGGUAACGGCCCACCAAGGCGANGGACGGGUAGCUGGUCUGAGAGGAUGGCCAGCCACAUUGGGGACUGAGAAACGGCCCAGACUCCUACGGGAGGGCAGCAGUGGGGAAUCUUGCGCAAUGGUCGAAAGACUGACGCAGCGACGCCGCGUGCGGGAGGAAGCUCUUCGGGGUGU
rnacentral:rRNA from 1 species